rnacentral:rRNA from 1 species
AUGAGUCUGCGAUUCAGCCACCGUCCUGCGGCGACGCAGCCUAUUGUACUCAAUGAACAAGCCAUUGUUGACAACCUUACUGAAGAUAACAUGAAAAUGACGUGGGCUAGCAGAAGGACAUGGGAGGACGAACAUCUCUACUUAGUCCAUGGUCAGGGUACUGCUGCAGGCAACACUCCCCCGUGCACGUUGGCCGUCAAGAAGUUCCAGAGCAUUAACCAAGCGCUGCAAGUAGACAACAAUGCCAAGUACCGCUACAAUUCGGAGAUGUUCCUGUUAGCUAGCAAUUCUCAUGAUAACAUCAUCAAAGUCGUAGGCCUCAUCCAGAGGGAAGACACAAUCAUGCUCGUUUACGAGUAUCCGGUGAACGGCAGCCUUCAGUCCUGGCUGAGCCAACCAAUGGAUGCUGGUCAGCCACUGAGCUGGCCGCAGAGGAGGUUCAUUGCCAUUGGUGUGGCCAACGGGCUCUGCCACUUGCACCACAGAUGCAAAAGGCCGAUUAUCCACCACAACAUCAACUCCAACAACAUCUUGCUUGAUCACAAUUUCAAGCCUGUGAUAGCCGGUUUUGACGCUGCACAGAUGAACAUGGCCGGGCUCGACCAACCGUUGCCAAUUGCGGGCCUGCCUCUUGGUAACUUUGGGUACGCAGCUCCAGAAUAUGGGGUCGCAGCAAGCGAGCUGACGGAGAAGGUCGACACAUACAGCUUUGGGGUGCUCAUGCUGGAGCUCGUCACGGGGCGAAUGGCCAAUGAAGCUGGAGCGGAUGGUCAUUUGGCGACUUGGGCGCGGAAGAACUUCACUGAGCUGAUGGCAAACCAACAGGAAAUGUUCCAGAGUGUCGUGGACGCGGACAUCCCAGAUCAAGCGCGGUACAUGAAGGAGAUGGCAACUGUGUUUAGGCUGGGUGUUGAUUUCACCGUUGUUGAUCCACAGAAAAGGCCGUCCAUGCGAAUGGCUCUCAAACGACUCUGCCGCGGCUGUGGGCGUGGCCCAUUCCGUGGCCUCCUCGCCUGCUAUCUGAUGUGA